rnacentral:tRNA from 9 species
GGCGGAUGUAGCCAAGUGGAUUAAGGCAGUGGAUUUGUGAAUCCACCAUGCGCG